rnacentral:lncRNA from 1 species
GUCAAUCUGCUAGAUGGGGACAGAUUAUUGAGCUUGCUGACAAAAAAAUAGAGCUAGUUUGGGUUUUUCACCCGGUGCGACCUGAAGAUAUCUAAAGAGAAUUCAGGAAGUGUUUCACAGUGCCAACUUUAUUCAUUCCAGAGAUCAUCCUGCUGCCGGAAUCUUAGAAGAUGAUGAAGAGCAACAAGUUUCAAACUUUGUAACACGAGGAUCGAUGUGCCAUAACUGGAUUGUUGUUGAUGUUCCUUCUAUUAUUC